rnacentral:rRNA from 1 species
UACGAAGGGGGCUAGCGUUGUUCGGAAUUACUGGGCGUAAAGGGCUCGUAGGCGGCCCACUAAGUCAGACGUGAAAUCCCUCGGCUUAACCGGGGAACUGCAUCUGAUACUGGAGGGCUUGAGGUCGGGAGAGGGAUGCGGAAUUCCAGGUGUAGCGGUGAAAUGCGUAGAUAUCUGGAGGAACACCGGUGGCGAAGGCGGCAUCCUGGACCGACACUGACGCUGAGGAGCGAAAGCCAGGGGAGCGAACGGG